rnacentral:rRNA from 1 species
UACGUAGGGUGCAAGCGUUGUCCGGAAUUAUUGGGCGUAAAGAGCUCGUAGGCGGUUUGUUGCGCCGGCUGUGAAAUCCCGAGGCUCAACCUCGGGUCUGCAGUCGAUACGAGCAAACUAGAGUGUUGCAGGGAGACUGGAAUUCCUGGUGUAGCGGUGAAAUGCGCAGAUAUCAGGAGGAACACCGAUGGCGAAGGCAGGUCUCUGGGCAUUAACUGACGCUGGAGGAGCGAAAAGCAUGGGGAGCGAACAGG